CGCGGGAUUUGCCUGACUGAGGAUACCUUGUUACGACUUCACCCCAAUCAUCUGUCCCACCUUAGGCGGUUGGCUCCUUGCGGUUACCCCACCGACUUCGGGUGUUACAAACUCUCGUGGUGUGACGGGCGGUGUGUACAAGACCCGGGAACGUAUUCACCGNGGNAUGCUGAUCCACGAUUACUAGCGAUUCCGGCUUCAUGUAGGCGAGUUGCAGNCUACAAUCCGAACUGAGAAUGG
rnacentral:rRNA from 1 species